AUGCGUAGAUAUUAGGAGGAACACCGGUGGCGAAGGCGACUUUCUGGACAAUAACUGACGUUGAGGCACGAAAGUGUGGGGAGCAAACAGGAUUAGAUACCCUGGUAGUCCACACCGUAAACGAUGGAUACUAGGUGUAGGAAAUGAUUUCAUUUUCUGUGCCGUCGCAAACGCAAUAAGUAUCCCACCUGGGGAGUACGGCCGCAAGGUUGAAACUCAAAGGAAUUGACGGGGGCCCGCACAAGCAGUGGAGUAUGUGGUUUAAUUCGAAGCAACGCGAAGAACCUUACCAGGGCUUGACAUAUAGAUGAAUAACUAAGAGAUUAGUUAGUCCUUCGGGACAUCUAUACAGGUGGUGCAUGGUUGUCGUCAGCUCGUGUCGUGAGAUGUUAGGUUAAGUCCUGCAACGAGCGCAACCCCUGUGAUUAGUUGCCAACAGGUUAAGCUGGGAACUCUAAUCAGACUGCCGGUGAUAAAUCGGAGGAAGGUGGGGAUGACGUCAAAUCAUCAUGCCCUUUAUGUCCUGGGCUACACACGUACUACAAUGGCUGUAACAGAGAGAAGCAACACCGCGAGGUAGAGCGAAACUCCAAAAGCAGUCUCAGUUCGGAUUGAAGGCUGAAAUUCGCCUUCAUGAAGCCGGAAUUGCUAGUAAUGGCAGGUCAGCAUACUGCCGUGAAUACGUUCCCGGGCCUUGUACACACCGCCCGUCACACCAUGAGAGUUGGGAAUACCCGAAGCCUGUGAGCCAACUGUAAAGAGGCAGCAGUCGAAGGUAGAAUCAAUGAUUGGGGUGAAGUCGUAACAAGGUAGCCGUAUCAGAAGGUGCGGCUG
rnacentral:rRNA from 1 species